rnacentral:tmRNA from 1 species
GGGGGCGAAUUGGAUUCGACCGGACGACUUGAGGCGUCGGUGGCGUGCCCAGGUUCCAAGGAGGCCUGGCUAAACACCUUGGGCCUAUUUUACGUGCCAAUAACGGCAUGCGCAUGGCCGCCUGAGUAAGGCUGCCCGUCCCCCGGCCGCUCGCCCGCGGCAGCCGGAGGGACGCAACUAGCGGGCUUACCGGCGGGUGUGGGACGGUUACCCAGCCGGGAGAACCAGGCGUCCUGGCCGAAUCGGAUCGCGUCGCGGGCGAGCCGGUGAGGCGAGAUUAAACCCCGCGACUACGCACGUAGAAGCCGCCGUUGAAACGUCACGGGACGCGGGUUCGAUUCCCGCCGCCUCCAUGC